rnacentral:rRNA from 1 species
CCUUAGGCAAAUCCGGGAUCACUUACGCCGAGCACCGAGACGAGUCCUAUGAGGACGAAGUGACUGACACCACGCUUCCAGGAAAAGCCACUAAGCUUCAGCUUAAGAAAAACCGUACCGCAAACCGACACAGGUAGGCAGGGUGAGAAUCCCAAGGCGCUUGAGAGAACUCGGGUGAAGGAACUAGGCAAAAUGGCACCGUAACUUCGGGAGAAGGUGCGCCCUUUGGUGUGGUCACGUGCGUGACUGAGCAUCGAAGGGUCGCAGUAACCUGGCCGCUGCGACUGUUUAUCAAAAACACAGCACUCUGCAAACACGAAAGUGGACGUAUAGGGUGUGACGCCUGCCCGGUGCUGGAAGGUUAAUUGAUGGGGUCAGCCGCAAGGCGAAGCUCUUGAUCGAAGCCCCAGUAAACGGCGGCCGUAACUAUAACGGUCCUAAGGUAGCGAAAUUCCUUGUCGGGUAAGUUCCGACCUGCACGAAUGGCGUAACGACAGCGGCGCUGUCUCCACCCGAGACUCAGUGAAAUUGAAAUCGCUGUGAAGAUGCAGCGUUCCCGCGGCAAGACGGAAAGACCCCGUGAACCUUUACUAUAGCUUUACACUGAACGUUGAGUUCUUCUGUGUAGGAUAGGUGGGAGGCUAUGAAACCAGGACGCUAGUUCUGGUGGAGCCAUCCUUGAAAUACCACCCUGAAGUGCUUGACUUUCUAACCUAGGCCCGUAAUCCGGGUCAGGGACCGUGUAUGGUGGGUAGUUUGACUGGGGCGGUCUCCUCCCAAAGAGUAACGGAGGAGCACGAAGGUACGCUCAGCGCGGUCGGACAUCGCGCACUGUGUGCAAAGGCAUAAGCGUGCUUGACUGCGAGAUCGACGGAUCAAGCAGGUACGAAAGUAGGUCUUAGUGAUCCGGUGGUUCUGUAUGGAAGGGCCAUCGCUCAACGGAUAAAAGGUACUCCGGGGAUAACAGGCUGAUACCGCCCAAGAGUUCAUAUCGACGGCGGUGUUUGGCACCUCGAUGUCGGCUCAUCACAUCCUGGGGCUGUAGCCGGUCCCAAGGGUAUGGCUGUUCGCCAUUUAAAGUGGUACGCGAGCUGGGUUCAGAACGUCGUGAGACAGUUCGGUCCCUAUCUGUCGUGGGCGUUGGAGAUUUGAGGGGGGCUGCUCCUAGUACGAGAGGACCGGAGUGGACGUUCCGCUGGUGUUCGGGUUGUCAUGCCCAUGGCAUUGCCCGGUAGCUACGAACGGAAGUGAUAACCGCUGAAAGCAUCUAAGCGGGAAGCACGCCCCAAGAUGAGAUCUCCCGAGAGCUUGACUCUCCUAAAGGCACCAUCAAGACUAGGUGGUUGAUAGGUCAGGUGUGGAAGCGCAGCAAUGCGUUGAGCUAACUGAUACUAAUGAGCCGUGAGGCUUGAACA